rnacentral:pre_miRNA from 1 species
AAUAACUUUAUUUUUCGUUUUUCCGUGUUCAACGUUUGACCAUUUGUUUUAUUUGAAAAUUUUGUGUAAAAAUAAAAAAAUUAGUCACGUAUAAAGUACUAUUCAUAUUUUAUCAUUCAGUAAUAAUAAAAAAUUAAUCAUAAAAAAAUUUUAAAUAAAAUAAAUGAUCAAACAUUAAACACGAAAAAAC